rnacentral:lncRNA from 10 species
AGUGCAUUACCAGCAAGCAUCCCAGGCAGGGCACUCAUUUUGCAAGCUCGCAGAAAGUGUGGUCAUGCCAACUCUGAAUUCUCUGACAUUGGAAUAGAUCGAAAGCAUCCUACAAUCGCCGCCCGCCAGGCGCCCACGUGACCUCGUUGUCUUUGCGGCAUGUGCAAACUUGUUCACAGCUGUGGCUGUUGUCAUCACUUCAGCGGGAUUAUGUGCACUGUUGGCACUUCAUGUGCCGGGUUUAAUUGCCAUGUAAAAUGCCUUCAGAAAGAUUAUACUAUGAUUCAGCAUUGAAAGGAAAACUUACGGUGUAUUCAGAAAGAUCCUCCCUCUCCGGCCUCCCACCCUCAGCUGUCAAGAGAUGACUAUUCUGCAUACAGACUGUCAAUGGAUUUCAGCCUUCCAGUUCCACUUCUUCCUCUUCCCCAGCUGUUAGCAUCUAGUUCUGUGCUGUCCAACCCAAUCACAAUAUGCCACCUGAUGCUACUGAACACUCUGAAUAUGGUGAGCUUGAAUUGAAGUGUGACACAGUGUAGAACACACAGACUUUGAAGGCUUAGCACCAAAAAAAGAAUGUAGAUCUCUCACCAAUAAUUUUAAUAUUGAGUACAUGUUGAAAUGAAGCCAUUUUAGAU